GUGUCCCUCCUUGGGGAGGGACAGAGGUAAACAUGUUUUACCUCUAGGGUGAGGAC
rnacentral:ncRNA from 1 species